rnacentral:rRNA from 1 species
GACAGAGGGGGCAAGCGUUGCUCGGAAUUACUGGGCGUAAAGGGCGCGUAGGCGGGAUGGCAAGUCGGUCGUGAAAUCCUUCGGCUCAACCGAAGAACGUCGAUCGAUACUGCUGUUCUUGAGGGUUGCAGAGGAGACUGGAAUUCCCGGUGUAGCGGUGAAAUGUGUAGAGAUCGGGAGGAACACCGGUGGCGAAGGCGGGUCUCUGGACAGUUCCUGACACUGAGGCACGAGGGCCAGGGGAGCAAAUGGG